ACCAAGGAGUCUAUCGUGUGCGCGAGUCAACGGUGAUCUUACGAAAAACCACGUUUGGCGCAAUGAAAGUGAACCGUUUACGGUGCGGACGAUGGCCUAGCGACCGAACCCACCGGCGUUCAAAGUCGCGCUGGUCCGCAGUCCGGGGGCGUCUCCGCCAAGUCGGCUUCGGCCGGCUGGGGGCGCACCCUUAGCGCACACGUUGGUACCCGAAAGAUGGUGAACUAUGCCUGGCCAGGAUGAAGUCAGGGGAAACCCUGAUGGAGGUCCGCAGCGAUUCUGACGUGCAAAUCGAUCGUCUGAGCUGGGUAUAGGGGCGAAAGACUAAUCGAACCAUCUAGUAGCUGGUUCCAUCCGAAGUUUCCCUCAGGAUAGCUGGCGCCGAUGUGUCCCGCCCGUUCGCGGGCGUACGGACGCCGGUGGGACUCCGCGCUGUACGGCGCGGUAACAACACGCUCGUAACACGGAGGAUGUCUCAUACGGUAAAGCGAAUGAUUAGAGGACAUUGGGGCCGAAACGACCUCAACCUAUUCUCAAACUAUAAAUGAGUGAGAUCGCCGGCUUUACCUGGUACACCGCGUGAACCGCGUGCGAAGCCGGCGACGGAACCCUAGGCGCUUAGUGGGCCAUUUUUGGUAAGCAGAACUGGCGCUGCGGGAUGAACCGAACGCCGAGUUAAGGCGCCGAAAUCGACGCGUAUUCAGAGACCAUGAAAGGCGUUGGUUGCUGAUGACAGCAGGACGGUG
rnacentral:ncRNA from 1 species